rnacentral:sRNA from 1 species
GAGUUGAGAGUUUGAGGGAUAUCACAAUAAUUAUGGCAUACGUCACGGAACUUGGGUUUUAUGGCUUUUAUAUUGAUU